CUGCGUGAUCAUGCUCUCGCCAGGAGCCAAGAUGAUGCGGCAAUGCUUCCCCAUCUGUUUUACGCUGCAGGUCGCUCCAGAGACACCCCAGAUAAGUCCCACUUGACGUUGCCCCCCACGUUCUUCUGGGUGAUGCUCCUGUGGUCGGGAUGUGAUGCUUCCCAGUGUCGGCCUGCGGAAGCCCUGUGGAGUGGGGACGUUGCUGAGCCCAGCUGCUGUGACAUCCCAGAUAAGUCCUCGAGAGGCUGGGUGGAGCGGCUGAAAGCCCUGCCAAGCCUCCAGCAUCAGCAGAUCCGCUACGCAGUUUCUGAGCCCAACCAGGCAUGCUAUGACAUACUUCCAUGUCACGCUCAGCAAGCAACACGGUAGGAUUUCCAUGCCAAUGUGGAGAAGAGCGCUAAACCUUCAGUUUUGGUGGUAGUUGGCAUAACGGUUCACGCAGGAUCUGAAGCAGAAAACUUCCUUGCAGGGCAGGCCGUGUAUUGCAACAUCUCUCAGUCUUCUGCAGUGUGAGCUACUGUGGAACGAGGGACCCGAGGAGAGCUCUCCACGGCUCUGAUGUGACUAUUCCUCCACAACCGUUUCCAAAGGAAUUUCAUUGGGUUGUUUUCUGACUACUUAGUUCAAACAAGGCAUGUCUCAGCCACCUGAUUCAGGCUUUAGAAAUGACAGAAGCGUCAGAGAUACUGAGCAGACUUUCAGUGCUGUGAAAACAGUGGGGCGAUAGCAGUCACUAACAGAAGAAAAUAACUUUGUUUUCUGAAUUCCUUCAUUCAAUGGCAUCAACACUCAGAAGUUCCUGUCAGAUACUCCUGACUACACCAGGAACCUUUCUCGGCAGAGUCAGAUGUGCUGUUUUGCAUUAGGAGCUGAUGAAUGUAAAGCUGAGAUUUUCCCUGAGAAUCUGGAAGAGAAGCUGAAUUCACUUCAGUGAAAAGUGAGCCAGCGUGCUGCAACAUCAGUGGAGUCUUUCAGUCAGUCAAAGGCAUUCAGCUGUCCCAGCAAGAGGGCACUAACAAACAGAACUGGGCAGAAAUGAAAGCUGCCCCUUCGAAACGGAAAUAAGAAGAGCUGUGCCUGAGCCGUGCCCCGCACCGAGCAGCGGAAGGAGCGUGCCUGGGUUUUGCUAACGCCUGCUUUCCCCUCUGUCCGAGCCCGCACCCCAGCUGCGUUACUGGUAGGGUGAUGGUUUUCAGUAAGCCAAAUCAGAGUUUCACUGAGAGAACUAGAAUUCUCUGGAGUUUCACUGAGACAAGAUUUGGAGCCUCAGAAAAGGUAAUCCAUAUUGCCAAAGGUUGACUUGUAUGAAGAAAUGAGCCAGAGAAGAGCUGCAUGAAGCUGGUUGCUACCCAAAAGUAGUAUGGAAGAUCCGCAGGAAAUUGCAGAAGAAAGUUAAUGCUGCAUAAAGCAUCAUUAACUCCUGUUGUGAACUCUGUCGUCUCGCUCGCUGGGGUCACAGAGCACAGACAGCAGUCAGAAACUAAUAACAACAUGGCUGCUGGGCCAGCCAGAUAGUCAUAAUUAGUUUGAGCAGUGGAGAGCAGAUUACAAAAAUUGUCGUUCCCUACACGUUCUGCUGCGGAGCCGAAGGCUCAGGCGCAGGCGCAGGCACUGGCCCCAACCCUGCUCCGCACUCACGCUCCAGCCUCAACCUGGGGCACAUCCAAGCAAGUAGAAAGUUGUGCUAAGCUAUGCAUAACUCGAAUGAUUUCUACCCCAUGGGAAUGGGGCGCGUUUAGCUUAGUUUCUCGGAGGACCCUUCCCUUCUAUAUAUUUUGACAAUUUAAAGAGACUUUUCUCUGACACCUCAGGCUGGAGAUGUGAUGCAAGAUGUGGAUUAAUUUCUCAGAAAGCCACACAAACUAAAUCCUCGUACAGCAAAUCGCUGGAGACUGCACUUUCAUAUUUAUUUUUGUUAUUGUUGGUGGAGAUCACUGCCAACCCCAGUAACUGAAGCUUACAGAGGAGGCUGUUACGGAGCAAAUCCCUCAUGCUGCCUCUUGGACAUGCUUCUGGCAUAUUGCAUAUGGGCAGGUUUGGGACUGCUCUGCAGGGUCAGGGCGAGGUAGUUUUCCCCAGCCCUCGGGGCUUAGUCAGGACUGACGUCGUCUGCUAGGUUUUGAACACAGCUGGCAAUUCUUACUUGUGGGUUUGCGAUGAAAAAAUUGUCAGCUGGAAACCGCUCAGGGAACACAGCUUUUUGCUUGGACUGAAUGAGAACUAGUAGGCUACAGAUGAAAGAUUAAUUCCCUGAACCAUCCCUCCAAACUGUCUAAUUUAAAUAUAACAGCAGCAAAAUAAACUUUUCCCACAGCAGAAGGGAAUAAAUGUAUCGUUACCUUUCGCUUAGAACCUGCCCCAAAAUCUGGUGAUUUUUUUUUUCUUUUCUCUUCUUUUUCUCACCUGAAAUUCUUUCUAUACUUAUUUUUGAAACAGAAACUUUUUUCCAAAUGCACGAGGGCAGGCGAAGUGGUAUUGGAAGGUUUUAGGGAACAGGAGUCAAUUUUUGGUGGAGACUCACCCUGACACACCAAGAAUUGCUUCAGCAGGAAUGGGAAAGGAUGUGGGGUGAAGACAAGACUGCUUCUGCCUCCUCUCUGCCAGGGAAGCCUUCUACUCACCAGUACACACGUGUGACUCUUAUUUCCUUGCUUUUUUGCAAAAAAAAUCCAGCCAUUUGCAAAGGUCAUGGAAAAGCAAUGUUUCCUGUCUAGAUCUAUUAUAAUUUGAACUUAUAAAAAUACCUAGUAACAGAAGGCUCAUUCAGGCUGGAAGGCUACAGCAUUUACAAGCAUUUAUCAGACAGUCACCAGUCUUUUUAAUCUGCAGUUUUCAGUUUGCCAAAUAAAAGCUUUUAAAAAGAUCAUUUUUCUUCCACAUGUACAAGACUAAGUGGAGUUUGUGUAAAGCAAUUGAGGAGUGCGUUUCAAUACAUUCAUUAGAAGCACAUAUAGGCUUCUGUUAAAGGCAAAAGUGUUUUUCACAUAAUCAGAACUCUUAGUAAUUACUCAGCAUGCAGUAAAAAUAUACAAUUGAGGAUGACAAAGAAUGUCAUUUGGGACCCUGCAGAAAAAGAAGCCACCAGAUGACAUUAAUUAUGCUAAAUAUUGAAUCACAUUCAGCUACUGUCGCAUGUGUUAUUGCCUUUCAUUUGCUGCUUACGAAAUCAGUUGAUUAAAUAAUCCCAGGUUGUACAGUUUGGAACAAUUGGAUUGAUCCAGUUAUAAAUUAUUGUGCAUUUCAAAUUACAUUCCAUUGUCUCCCUGACCACAAAGCAGAAGAAAUCCUUCAAGCCCAAGGUUGGCUUGAGCUGAGAAUUACCUAGCAAAGUGCAAAUAGAAUUUAGGGCGCUGCAUAAAAAAUAAUAGUGUUAGUUACAUUCCCCCUGACUAAGCACAACACAUGAUGAAACUUAAUUACUUCCCAAAAGCUUAAAAAAGAAGUCAAGUAUGAAGAGAAUUUUACCUUUCAAAUUGAAUACAUUUUCUUACCCUAAUAAGACAAAGUUUUGGCCCAAUACCACUAAUUUCCACUUUACUUUUUAUUCUGAUCCCAGCUCUUGCAAGUCCUUUCUCUGGAAGUCCACUGAGAAGCAUGCUUUCAUAAUUAAAUGUAUAAACCUUGUUUUCACUGAAAUCGGGUUCUGCAAAGAAAUGGUUCCCAUAAAACAUUAUAGAGACUGUACAGAACAUAUUAAAGUACCUGUAUUAGAAUGUAUGGAACAAAAAAGAUGAAUUUGUUCAUUUUUGUAUUGCACCUGAACAAAAUUAGCUGUUGUAAAAUUAUAUUAAACAUUGAUAUACUUUUCAGAUUCUAUUUUGAAUUUC